rnacentral:rRNA from 1 species
ACGAACGCUGGCGGCGUGCCUAAUACAUGCAAGUUGAGCGCUGAAGGUUGGUACUUGUACCAACUGGAUGAGCAGCGAACGGGUGAGUACCGCGUGGGGAAUCUGCCUUUGAGCGGGGGACAACAUUUGGAAACGAAUGCUAAUACCGCAUAAAAACUUUAAACACAAGUUUUAAGUUUGAAAGAUGCAAUUGCAUCACUCAAAGAUGAUCCCGCGUUGUAUUAGCUAGUUGGUGAGGUAAAGGCUCACCAAGGCGAUGAUACAUAGCCGACCUGAGAGGGUGGUCGGCCCACUUGGGACUGAGCAACGGCCCAAACCCCUACGGGAGGCAGCAGGAGGGAAUCUUCGGGAAUGGACGAAAGUCUGACCGAGCAACGCCGCGGGAGUGAAGAAGGUUUUCGGAUCGUAAAACUCUGUUGGUAGAGAAGAACGUUGGUGAGAGUGGAAAGCUCAUCAAGUGACGGUAACUACCCAGAAAGGGACGGCUAACUACGUG